rnacentral:lncRNA from 10 species
CUGAGGUCAAGGGUCAAGGGCCUCACCGGGAAAUGCCGCUGAGCACAGCUCUCCAGCCGCUGCCCGAGUCCCUCUUGAAAUGGGCAGGGCAGGGAGGGCGUGGGUACCAGCGCAGGUGCUGGGGUUCAUUUCUUAGGCCUGUGUCAUGGCUAUGACCCUUGGCCGGCUGGGGUGGGGGCUGUGUCUAUGACGCCACCAAGGCCCUGGGUGUCCCCGGGGUCCCUCGGAAUAGGAGGUGGAAACGGGUCGGACAAGAGCUGGCCGUGGGGGAAGAGCAAUGGUGUGCGGAGGUGGGGGAGGCCCUAUCUAGGGACAAGCAGAAAACUUAGGGUGGGCAGAUCCCCCCGACCCCUGUGCAGGGGCUGCCGGAGACCAGAGAGGCUGCUGUGUGACCUGGACCAAGCCCCUUGCCCUCUCAUGCCUCAGUUUCCCCUUCUCUCCACGGAGGGAUUGAGCAGGACAUGGAGGGCCCCUUCCAGUAGCCAUUCUGGGACUCCCUGCACCUGUCCCCAGGGGAGGGUCCUGAGCUGGCCUCCACGUGGCUGCUGUUCCCCAUAGUGGAACCUUGUGUGUGGAGACGGCUGGAAGGUCCCGCUGGAGCAGGUGAGCCACCUCCUGGGCUGGCUGCUGGGCUGUGUCAUCCUGGGAGCAGGCUGUGACCGGUUUGGACGCCGGGCAGUUUUUGUGGCCUCCCUGGUGCUGACCACAGGCCUGGGGGCCAGUGAGGCCCUGGCUGCCAGCUUCCCUACCCUGCUGGUCCUGCGCCUACUCCACGGGGGCACAUUGGCAGGGGCCCUCCUCGCCCUGUAUCUGGCUCGUGAGUACCCUGGGGGCUGCUGUCACUGGGGGAGGGGCAGUGGGUGGCCCGCAGGCCUCUGAGGCUCCCUUGCCGAGGGCCCCGAGCUGCAGGGACAGUGAGCAGUGAGUCCCUUGGGCAUCCCGCUCCUGGGCAGGUCACCAAUAGGUCCCCGCAGUUCCCAAUGGAACUGUUCCAGUCCUCCCCGAGGCCUCCACUUCAACCUGUCUGUGUCUGCCCAGGCCUGGAGUUGUGUGACCCUCCCCACCGCCUGGCCUUCUCCAUGGGGGCUGGCCUUUUCUCGGUG